GUACACUCCUGCGGGAGGCAGCAGUGGGGAAUUUUGGACAAUGGGCGAAAGCCUGAUCCAGCAAUGCCGCGUGUGUGAAGAAGGCCUUCGGGUUGUAAAGCACUUUUGUCCGGAAAGAAAUCCUUGGCUCUAAUACAGUCGGGGGAUGACGGUACCGGAAGAAUAAGCACCGGCUAACUACGUGCCAGCAGCCGCGGUAAUACGUAGGGUGCGAGCGUUAAUCGGAAUUACUGGGCGUAAAGCGUGCGCAGGCGGUUUGCUAAGACCGAUGUGAAAUCCCCGGGCUCAACCUGGGAACUGCAUUGGUGACUGGCAGGCUAGAGUAUGGCAGAGGGGGGUAGAAUUCCACGUGUAGCAGUGAAAUGCGUAGAGAUGUGGAGGAAUACCGAUGGCGAAGGCAGCCCCCUGGGCCAAUACUGACGCUCAUGCACGAAAGCGUGGGGAGCAAACAGGAUUAGAAACCCCGGUAGUCCC
rnacentral:rRNA from 1 species